rnacentral:misc_RNA from 1 species
CAAGGAUAGCACUUUGAUCAUGCAGCUAUUGAGGGACAACCUCACUUUGUGGACGUCUGACAUUCCAGAGGAUGGAGGUAUUUUAUGGACUUGAUGCUUUAAAUAUUCCUGGGGCUAUAGCUUUAACUUUAUUUGUCCAGCAAUCUUUUGGAUCCUUCCUCAAUUAAUUGAAGUCAAUAUUCUAGCAAAGUUUCAUUCACCUUUUUGCUUUAUAAUAAUCUACCAGUGAAAAGGAAAUUGCAGGUAUUUGCUAUUAUUUUAGUUCUGCAUUUUUAUGAGGAUUUGUUUUCAUGAUUUCCUUUUUUUGCCUCGGGGGAGCAAGCUGAAUUGAGUGUUGACAGUAAAGAGUUCUGAAUGUUUUAAGUCUUGUUAAUGAUAAAUUGAGUGUACAAUAUAUACUGGCUAUAAGAUAAUGAUAAGUAUGAAAUGUACAAGCUAAGGACUGGUACAAGAGAUAGAUAAAGAUCAAUAUGAAAUUGGUUAACAGAUUGGGAUAAACAUUCUCUCUCUAUUUCGCCCCUGCAAUUUGAGUGUUGAACUGGUCGAAUUGUUAAUCUUGCCUGAAUAUCAGCAUGUCUGGAGCUCGGUAAAGCUUUUUGAGGAUAUCUGCAAGUUGGUCACGGGAUGAAACAAAUUUAACUUGAAGCUCUUUCUUAGUGACUUUAUCCCGAACAAAGUGGAACUCCACUUCUACAUGUUUCGUUCUGGCAUGGAAGAUUGGGUUUGCAGAUAGAUAGGUAGCACCAAUAUUGUUACACCACAGCACAGGAGUAGAUAUAAAAGGCAUGGCAAUUUCUCGAAGAAGAGAUUCUAACCAAAUUAAUUCAGUUGUAGCAGCCCCAAUUGCCUUGUAUUCAGCUUCCAUGGAGGAUUUGGCCACAGUUCUUUGAUUUUUGGAGUUCCAUGAAAUAUGGUUUUGGAGCCAAGGAAGAUGGCAUGCCCAAAUGUAGAUUUACGGUCAGUACUGUCACUUGCCCAAUAUGCAUCUCUAUAAGUGAUUUAACUUAUGGACAUGAUUCGGCUUUUUUGGAUCCUGGAAUUUGGGUGGUGGUUCCAUAAAAACAUUGUCUUCUAAGUCACCAUGAAGAAAAGCGUUCGAGACAUCUAGUUGACGAAUGUCCCAAUCUCUGGAGAUUGCAAUUGAAAAAAUGAGCCUAAUUGUUGUUGGUUUAACAACAGGGGAAAAGGUUUCUGUGAAAUCCAGCCCUGGCCGCUCUUGAUAACCCUUUGCCAUAAGAUGUGCUUUAUUGCACUCAACUAACCCAUUGGAUCGCUGUUUAAUUCAAAAAACUCACUUACAUCCAACCACAUUCUAAGCAGUAGAACGAGGUACUAAUGUCCACAUCCCUAUUUGAAUCAAAGCAUUGACUUCGUCCAUCAUGGCCGCACGCCAUGUCGAAUCUCAUACUGCUUGUGAAUGGCAAGUAGGAACACUGAGUUGAUAUGAUGAAAUGGUUGCCAAAAAUUUCUUGGGCUUUAAGUUGCCCGUCUGAGAUUUGGUCACCAUUUUGUGAAGGCAUUCAGGUUGAGGUUCGAUGCAGGUGUAGGUGGUUCAUGCGAAGUAGGGAAAUUUGGGUCUAAGUCUGUGGAGUUGGUGACUACCAGAGAAAUACCUUUAUUGGUUGGUGGAAUUGAUUUUGCAAUGGGAGAUCUGGCGAGAGCAAGUGUUAUUGAGUGUGUUUGGUGUGAUUGGUAGUAGGGCAAUAUGGUAAGGAAAAAGAGACGUGGUUAGAAUUGGAGCAUGUGAGUGGAAUACUUCGUGGGCUUGGAGUGGAUGAUGGAUGUGGGCCUAACAAACCUUGCCAUGUGUGAUUUGGAGCAUUAUUGGGACAAUGGUCUAGUAUCAAUGGGUGUGUGGGUGAAGUAGCGACAGGACCUUGCAAAAUAAAACUUGGAUUCCGUAGUGCCAAAUUAUCAUUCUGGAGAAGUGGAAAAUCCUAUUCAAAGAAAAGAACGUGACGUGAAAUGUAAAUUUUGCCAGUUAAAAAUUCCAAGCAUUGAUAACCUUUAUUAGAUUUGUUGCAACCGAAAAAUACACAUUUACUAGAGUGUGGGAAUAGUUUAUGUUUGGAGUAUGGUUUUAACCAAGGAUAGUAAAGGGAUUCAAAAAACAUAAAGUUCAGUGUAAUCAGGCGGUGUUUUGAAAAGAAUUUUAUAUGGUGUUUUAGGACUAAUUUUGAUUGAAGGGAUUCUAUUGAUUGUAUAAAACACUUGUUUGAAAUGCAUAAGUCUAAUAUUGUAGUGGAACAUUUGCAUGGUGUAACAUGGUCCUACCUGUCUCAAAGAUAUGACCGUGUUUGCAUUUUGCACAACUAUUUUGUUUAGGUGUGUGCGGACAUGAGAUUCUUUGAGUGAUGCCAUUAUCUCGUAAAUAAUUGGUUAAGGCUUGAAAUUGCCCAUCACGAUCUGCUUGGAAUUGUUUAAUUGGCAAACCAAAAUGUUUUUUGACAAGAGUGCAGAAUUGGAUAAAAAUAGUGAGUACAUUAGAUUUAUGUUUCAAAAAAUAAGUCUAAUUAUACUUACUGUAGUGAUAAAAAAAAGGCACAUAAUAUCGAAAACCAUCAACAGAUUCGACAGGAGCAGGGCCCCAAACGUUAGAACAAAUUAACUCAAAAGGUUGAUUAACAUUGGAAUAAGAAACAGAAAAUUUAUGCAUCUUGCUGAUAUUGCAUGCAUGACACGGACUGGAAGACUUGAAUUUAUUACAAGAAAGUUUAUUAUGACUAACUAAACAAGAAUUAGCAUGGCCCAGAUGGGCAUGCCAUGUGGCCAAAGGUGCAACAAGAGCUUCUAGACGAAGAGAAGUAGAAAUCUGAAGAGGUAUCCUUCACAAGAAAACAAUCAAGGUAAAACUCAACAGAUGCAUUAUUAUUUGUGGUAAACGAAUGAAUAGAAAGAAGAUUUUGAUGGAAAGAAAGAGAGCAAAGAAUAUUGUUCAAUUGAAAUGUCAAAUUGUGAGCAUGAGUAGUAGAUGAACCAACAUGAGAAAUAGGAAGUGUUUUACCAUUGCCUAUCACAAUUUCAUUAGUUCCAUGAUAAGGAGCAAAGGAUGUAAGAUUUCUAUUGUCAGCCGUCAUUUGGAAAUUAGUGUUGGAAUCCAAAUUCCAAUUCUGGGCAGGUGUAGUAUUGGUGGAAGCAAAGCUGGAAACUGGCCUGGUAGAGUUAGACCGGCGUGGUGUCGGGCAUUGCUUGGCAAGAUAGCCAUUGUCAUUGCAGUUGUGGCAAAUGAUAUGACUGGGAACACGGGCGUUGAUAGAAGUGUAGGACUGAUUGUGGCAACCUCAACCUCUGUUGGAAUGUCCUCCUUUAGUUGACUAAUUGGAGGGACGUGCGGCAUAAUGUGCAGUUGGAGUAACAGAUGAUUCCAUAGAUAAAUUUUUCAUUUUUAGUUGGGCUUCCCCACUCAAGAGCAAAGCAUAAAGGUCAUUAUAAGAGAUGGGCAUAUGUUAAAGAUCAGAUCUGAAUU